rnacentral:rRNA from 1 species
GUGAGUAACACGUGGGCAAUCUGCCCUUCACUCUGGGACAAGCCCUGGAAACGGGGUCUAAUACCGGAUAACACUCUGUCCUGCAUGGGACGGGGUUAAAAGCUCCGGCGGUGAAGGAUGAGCCCGCGGCCUAUCAGCUUGUUGGUGGGGUAAUGGCCUACCAAGGCGACGACGGGUAGCCGGCCUGAGAGGGCGACCGGCCACACUGGGACUGAGACACGGCCCAGACUCCUACGGGAGGCAGCAGUGGGGAAUAUUGCACAAUGGGCGAAAGCCUGAUGCAGCGACGCCGCGUGAGGGAUGACGGCCUUCGGGUUGUAAACCUCUUUCAGCA